rnacentral:rRNA from 1 species
AGCGGCGGACGGGUGAGUAAUGCAUAGAAAUCUGCCCGGUAGUGGGGGAUAACCUGGGGAAACCCAGGCUAAUACCGCAUACGUCCUACGGGAGAAAGCAGGGGAUCUUCGGACCUUGCGCUAUCGGAUGAGUCUAUGUCGGAUUAGCUUGUUGGUGAGGUAAUGGCUCACCAAGGCGACGAUCCGUAGCUGGUCUGAGAGGAUGAUCAGCCACAUCGGGACUGAGACACGGCCCGAACUCCUACGGGAGGCAGCAGUGGGGAAUAUUGGACAAUGGGCGAAAGCCUGAUCCAGCCAUGCCGCGUGUGUGAAGAAGGCCUUCGGGUUGUAAAGCACUUUCAGUGGGGAAGAAAGCCUUGGGGCUAAUACCCUCGAGGAAGGACAUCACCCACAGAAGAAGCACCGGCUAACUCCGUGCCAGCAGCCGCGGUAAUACGGAGGGUGCGAGCGUUAAUCGGAAUUACUGGGCGUAAAGCGCGCGUAGGCGGUCUGAUAAGCCGGUUGUGAAAGCCCCGGGCUCAACCUGGGAACGGCAUCCGGAACUGUCAGGCUAGAGUGCAGGAGAGGAAGGUAGAAUUCCCGGUGUAGCGGUGAAAUGCGUAGAGAUCGGGAGGAAUACCAGUGGCGAAGGCGGCCUUCUGGACUGACACUGACGCUGAGGUGCGAAAGCGUGGGUAGCAAACAGGAUUAGAUACCCUGGUAGUCCACGCCGUAAACGAUGUCGACUAGCCGUUGGGCUCCUUGAGAGCUUUGUGGCGCAGUUAACGCGAUAAGUCGACCGCCUGGGGAGUACGGCCGCAAGGUUAAAACUCAAAUGAAUUGACGGGGGCCCGCACAAGCGGUGGAGCAU